rnacentral:rRNA from 2 species
AGACCCGAAACCCGGUGAUCUAGCCAUGGGCAGGUUGAAGGUUGGGUAACACUAACUGGAGGACCGAACCGACUAAUGUUGAAAAAUUAGCGGAUGACCUGUGGCUGGGGGUGAAAGGCCAAUCAAACCGGGAGAUAGCUGGUUCUCCCCGAAAGCUAUUUAGGUAGCGCCUCGUGAAUUCAUCUCCGGGGGUAGAGCACUGUUUCGGCUAGGGGGCCAUCCCGGCUUACCAACCCGAUGCAAACUGCGAAUACCGGAGAAUGUUAUCACGGGAGACACACGGCGGGUGCUAACGUCCGUCGUGAAGAGGGAAACAACCCAGACCGCCAGCUAAGGUCCCAAAGUCAUGGUUAAGUGGGAAACGAUGUGGGAAGGCCCAGACAGCCAGGAUGUUGGCUUAGAAGCAGCCAUCAUUUAAAGAAAGCGUAAUAGCUCACUGGUCGAGUCGGCCUGCGCGGAAGAUGUAACGGGGCUAAACCAUGCACCGAAGCUGCGGCAGCGACACUCAGGUGUUGUUGGGUAGGGGAGCGUUCUGUAAGCCUGCGAAGGUGGCCU